UACGUAGGGGGCAAGCGUUGUCCGGAAUUAUUGGGCGUAAAGAGCGCGUAGGCGGUCCGGUAAGUCCGCUCUGAAAGUCCGGGGCUCAACCCCGGGAGGCGGGCGGAUACUGUCGGGCUAGAGUCCGGAAGAGGCGAGUGGAAUUCCUGGUGUAGCGGUGAAAUGCGCAGAUAUCAGGAGGAACACCAAUGGCGAAGGCAGCUCGCUGGGACGGUACUGACGCUGAGGCGCGAAAGCGUGGGGAGCAAACAGG
rnacentral:rRNA from 1 species